UACAAAGUUGAUGUCAUGCACUCAUGUCAGCAACGUGACAAAGGAGAUGGCAGUGCUUCUAUAUUAUCUUAUGAAAGGAAAAAGGAUGGAUGUCGGGGUGAUCAUUCAUAGGUCCAUCUUGAGUGCUUGGAUGGGGUACCACUAGUGGGUUGCCCUACCCCUCCCUAAUCUGUGCAUUGUGUGAACAGGCAGGGGUUAAAUGGAAACAAGACGAACUCAUCAUGCCACCAAUGCCACUAUUUGACAACAAUAUGAUUAUGCGAUAUAAAGUUUGGGGGGUGGUGGUGAGUCGCAUCUGAGGGGAUUGGAUUUUACCAUUCCAUAGUCUGAGCCUCUGCAAGGUUCGACUCAAAUGGCCACAUAUUCUUAUCCCGUUGCUUCCCGCCGUGUUGUUUCUGAAGAGGUUGAGUUAGAGGUUAAUAGAUGGAUGUAUUGCUUGGAAGACCAGAAUGUUACCCUUGUUGCCCGACAAUACGCUAUCUUUUCCUACAACGUUAGCUUCAACAAUGCCCUUGUCGACAUGUUUGCAAGAAUGAACCCCACCAUGGAGCCUACUCAGUUUCCAAUACCACCCAAAUUGCCCGUUUUCCACCCUUCGAUCAAGAAGAUGAAAAAAGCAAUUAGGAGGUCGAUCACGACGAUUGACCUAAUCAGGGAAGCCCUCAGUUUUACAAUUUUUCUAUCUUUCGCAUGAGGACAUUGUUCUAUUCAAUUUUGGGGGUGUUUGUUUAUAUAUAUAUAUAGUAUGCAUAUACAUAAUAGUUUGUUACAUAAUAGGAUAUUUAUUCAUUUAGGUUGAUUUGCAUCUAGUUUAUAUUUAUUCAUGUUUAUUUGUUAGUUUUGCAUGAUAUUGUGUUUACAUAUAUCGCAUGUAGGAUAACUUGAGCAUGAUGAUGAGAUAUCAAAACCGUGAUGAUGGCCAAUGAUAACAAUAUAGUGAAUUAAGUAAUAAUUUGAGUGAAUGGGAUACUAAAGGCUAGGUCAACUCUUUAUUUUUGUUAGCUUUCUUUGUUGAAAAAAAACACUUGGUUUAAUUACACGUAUUUAGUAUGUUAAUCUAGUUAUGGUUUAAAUUGAACAACCAGAAUUCAUUGCUUAGGAUGGAUAUGAACAACCCUCUAUAGCUUUUGUUACUCAGUAUCUUGAAAAAACAAAGAAAAGAAGAUUAAGCUGGACUAGUUAUCUGUGUGGCCUUUGUUACCGAACAAGUAAGCCCUUAGAAGUGUUUUUACACUUAGUGCCCUAAAGUCGACUGACUUGAGAGUCAUUAGUCAAAAGUUAGCUACUUUGAAAAGCCUAAUAAAUAUUAACAUUGCAAAAGUCAAGAAAUAAUAGAAAAGAAAAAAGAAAAAAGAAAAAAGAGAUGUAACGUAAAACACACUCGUUAUGAACCAAAAAAAUAAUAAUAAAAGAAAUUUUUGAAAUAUAGGGUAUCUAAGUUAUAGAAGUGAAAUAAAUUGCUUAUAUCUGUGAUUAUCUUUCUUUGAGCCAUAUGAUUCAUAAGUUCGGCUGAGUUAUGAUUGGGUUGACAUGUUAACACACACACACACAUUGUGGGUUGAAAAUAAAGUAAGUUGGUGAUAUUUUCGAGUUUUAAUCUAUGCUUUAGUUGAGCAUUCAUUUAAGUUAUGGUUAAGGAUCUUUGAGGCUAUUUAUGGUUGUUUGUGUUGAAUCAUGCUCGAGUUGGUAUAUUAAAUAGUUAGUUGCAUCCAUUAUGUUCCAGUUAUUUGCAUUGCUUGAGGACAAAUAAUUGUUUAAGUUUGGGAGUAUUUGACGAAUGUGUAAUUUAUCCAUGAAUUGAGUACUUUCGAGCUUAAUAAAUUGUUAGUCUUGAGGUUAUUUAGGACAUUUUACUUGUUUUAGUGUUAUUUUGUAGGUUAAGGCAAAGUAGGGGCAAAACAGUGAAUUCUGGCUAAAGGAAGGGCAAGAUGAUAAUUCCAGCAGCUUCAGCAGAAUUGUGACGCUACUCCAAGAGUCAAACCCAGUGCCGGGGCAUUGAGAGUUAGGAAUUGUUGGUCGAGUUUCUUUGUAGUUGGAAUUUUGGACGCGAAUUUUUAUUAGGAAUUGGAUUUCUAUAUAUAACAGGAAGGGCUAUUCAUCUAAAAAAGACACAAAGAGAUUAAAGUAGAUUGCUGGAGAUUAAAGAUUGGAGAUUUGGAAGAGCUCACAAGGAUUGCAGACUGGAGACUUGAAGGUGGAAGACGACUUUAUUUUCUUACGUCUAAUUUUCAGUUUUUUGUAAUUCUAUUGUGAUGGCUUAUUUGGGAUUUUUGGUUUUAAAUUUCAGCAUGAGUUAAACUUAUAAUUAAGUCUGCUAUUAAACCUUUU
rnacentral:lncRNA from 1 species